CAGCACCAAGUUCACUUAUAGGCCUAUUAUAUAAUCUAUAAAUCUCUGUUGCGCAGUGUUGAAUCAGGCCUCACACACAGUAGAUCAAUGAAAGUCUCACAAUGACUAACAUCCAUAUCAGCGAAUGAACAGUGUCACUCACAUUUGACAGGAGUAAACGCGUGUGACCAAUUAGGCGCUGGAGGUGAAGGCUCAGCGAGUGAAUCCACUGACUGGCGUUAGGUUCGCAUUCGCAAGCAUCGAACACGAAGGUUCUAGAGAUAUAUGAUACCCUGGUUGGAGGAGUUUCAUCGCCUGGACGGCCUGACCUGACAGCUCUCGUCCUUACACCCUAGAUCACGACUCCAACCUUCAGUACCGUCAGCUGCGUCGCAGGGCGACUCCGCGGUAAGUUUAUGUCUUAAUCUACGGAAACGAGCUGUCGAGCAGCGGUGCGGUCAUCUCUGGAGGAAGCCAAGUCCUGACGCAGAGAUCCUGUGGCCGCCUUUUCAUGUCCGAGACGAAGCGUGCGACCAGUUGUUUAUGUCAUCCCCUCUGCGCCCCUCCGCUCACGGCCACACACACACACACACACACACACACACACACACACA